GGCCGAAAGCCAAACGGCGUCACUUGGCCUGGUGAAUAUCCUUGUAAAUCGUCGUAGGAUGUAUGUUGUCUGUAGUUGGCGCUAGCUAUUGUGGAUUCUUCGGAAAGCUGAAGUAACUGGCUUCGUACUGUAUAUGUCGCCAUAUUUUUGAAAUCAAUACCUGCGAAAUCGAAUUGUUGUACCUUAGAUAACAUCACAGGGUUGUAAAUGCAAGAGUCCCUGCAGCGCUAACCGAAAGUGAGAUGGCAUCACAGGGGAUACUCUGGCAUAAUUUUGCUUGCAAAUGAUUGUAAGUUAUUAGUCGUGAUUCUAAGUAUCAUUGAAGCCGUCGCAUUUAGUAACAUAACAAAAAGGAACUUCGGGUAAAACCAUAGUCAAAUAGCCAAAGUGCCAUGACCGUCUGCCAUCGCUUUCAGUUUUGCGUCAGUUUUUUUCUUUCCGGCAUGUGAUGCUUAAAGCUUAUGGAAUUAUACAGAGAACGAUCGUGUUUUCAAAGAAAGGAUCAGAGAAAGAGAUUCCUAAAAGCUGUUUCUUCAGCCAGAAGUCAUCCAUUUUUAAGAGUAGAGAGAGAAAAUGUGAUCUAAAAUGCUCAAUGUAGAUGCUAAAAGGCCUUGAAGUUUGUAAUUUAAAGUUGUGUUGUGAUGCCUUUUGCUUGAAAGAAUGUUUGUGAAACUCGCAUGUUAAAUAAAUGUUGAAAAAUUGAA